ensembl:snoRNA small nucleolar RNA SNORD67
UGUGAAGUUAUGGGUUACACACUGAUGGAAUCACAGCGUUAGGAGAUGCAGGCAAUAUUCAGUACCACUCUGGCGAAAAAAAUGCACAGGGACCACUCAAGUGCA